rnacentral:rRNA from 1 species
CCUACGGGGGGCAGCAGUGAGGAAUAUUGGUCAAUGGGCGGAAGCCUGAACCAGCCAAGUAGCGUGCAGGAUGACGGCCCUACGGGUUGUAAACUGCUUUUAUACGGGAAUAACGCGCCUUACGUGUAGGGCUUUGCAUGUACCGUAUGAAUAAGGACCGGCUAAUUCCGUGCCAGCAGCCGCGGUAAUACGGAGGGUCCGGGCGUUAUCCGGAUUUAUUGGGUUUAAAGGGAGCGUAGGCGGCAUGUCAAGCGUGCUGUGAAAGGUCCGGGCUCAACCCGGGCCUUGCAGCGCGAACUGGCUUGCUUGAGUCCGGGAGAGGCAGGCGGAAUUCGUGGUGUAGCGGUGAAAUGCUUAGAUAUGACGAAGAACCCCGAUUGCGAAGGCAGCUUUCUGCAGCGGAACUGACGCUGAUGCUCGAAAGCGCGGGUAUCGAACAGGAUUAGAUACCCUUGUAGUC